GUGCGAACAGGUGAGGAAACCCGAGAGCUAAGUUUUGGGGCGGGGCUGGAGUCGUAUUAGGUCGAAGGUGGUAUAAAAGACCACCUUGCCCAGGAUGCGUGGCUUUAAACUGGAAGCCAUCUUUUCACUGAAGCAAAGGGAGGGCUCAAAAAGGGAGCGAAAAGCUCCUGAGGCAGCAGUAUAUAACUUUAUGCAAUGUACGAAAGUGCGACAUAGAAGGGGCGUAUAACUUAAUCUGUCUAAUUAAGUGCCAGCAGACGCGGUGAAACUUAAGGAUUAGUAUUAUAGGAAAAAGCGUAAAGGGUGUGAGGGGCUUAUCCCGACAAGAGGGUAAAUGGAAUUUUUCUGUAGGGGUAGAAUGUGUAGAUAGAAAAAAGAACUCUAAACGCGAAGGCAAUUUAUCUCAUGGGAGGUACGCCAACUGCUCCGUUGUUACACGAAAGUAUGGGGAGCAAACAGGAUUAGAGACCCUGGUAGUCUAUAUUGUAAAUAAUGAAGAAGAUGUGAGGCAAUCCUAAAGGGUAAUAAAUUUUUCGCUUGAGUAGUAUGAUCGCAAGAUUUAAAUUCAAAAAACUUGGCUGCUCACUGCUAUGAUCAGAGGAGCGCGUCGUUUAAUUCGAUAGUCCGCGAGAGACCUUACCCAAACUUGAAUUCGCCCUUUAACAGGUAUUGCAUGGCCGUCGUCAAUUUGUGUAUUAAAUGUAAAACGGAUUCAACCCAGUGGUUGGCAUCCCCUCGUCUUCGGAGCGGUGCCAUUAUUGGAUGAAGUCAGGUCUUAUUGUCCUAAUGUUUGGGGAUUAGAUGCGCUACAUUUUCUUAUACAAUGGGAGAUUUUGAAGGUGGAACCCUAAAGUAAGAGUUCGGGAGGUGGCUGGAAGAUAACUGAAAGUUGGAUUUGAUAGUAAUUAGAAAGUAGAGCGUUCUGGUGAAAUUGAUGCAGUGUUAGUACAAAUAGCCCGUCGCCUUGGUCAAGAAUGGUUAGUCAAACGC
rnacentral:rRNA from 3 species